rnacentral:rRNA from 1 species
CACGUAGGGCGCAAGCGUUGUCCGGAAUUAUUGGGCGUAAAGAGCUCGUAGGCGGUCUGUUGCGUCCGCUGUGAAAACUCGGGGCUUAACCCCGAGCCUGCAGUGGAUACGGGCAGACUAGAGGUAGGUAGGGGAGAAUGGAAUUCCCGGUGUAGCGGUGAAAUGCGCAGAUAUCAGGAAGAACACCGAUGGCGAAGGCAGCUCUCUGGGACGGUACUGACGCUGAGACGCGAAAGCGUGGGGAGCGAACAGG